UUAGAAACUUUAUAUUUUUUAAAAAAAAAGAUCCAUGUCAAAAAUGAACUUGUUUAUAUUUCUGGCUGAAAUUAUAGGCUGAUCAAAGAGUCGACUUCAGUUACUUUACGUCACAGAAGCUCUAUGAUUGGACAAAUGAAGAGAUUUUCUAACGAAAAUGUGGUGGCAACAUUGUACCCAAAAAAAUGUAAACACCCUGUACGAAUCAAUAAUAAAGUCGAUUAAAGAAGGACCAGAAGGUAUACCACCUGAACGAUCCUCACCACAUGAUGAAGGGGUAGGGGUAAAGGACCACUUCGGCCUCAGGCAACCCGGCCAGCCGAUAUGACUGCGAUGCCGAACCACACAUUCUACCAUGACCAGAUAACGCGAAGAGUCAAUUUUUUCUUUUCUCUAUUUUUCCAACGCCCUGAAUGUAGCGAUGAUGCACCAAGGCGGCUUUCCGGCUGUCAACGAGGCUAUAUUCUCACCAUCAAGAGCAUGCUGUAAUAUUUUUUCUUGAAUUUGCAACCUUCCCCACUGCUAUUCUUUUGGAGUGAAAAUAUUUAAAAGAAAAUCCUGCUGGACCUCUGAUAAUAGCGAUUAAAAUGGUUCUUAAAUAACA